rnacentral:piRNA from 1 species
UGUAAUGGACUAUAUAAAGUGCCAAUGGU